rnacentral:rRNA from 1 species
GACAGAGGGUGCAAGCGUUGUUCGGAUUUACUGGGCGUAAAGGGCGCGUAGGCGGCCACCGCACGUCACUUGUGAAAUCUCCGGGCUUAACCCGGAAAGGUCAACUGAUACUGCGGGGCUAGAGUGCAGAAGGGGCAACUGGAAUUCUCGGUGUAGCGGUGAAAUGCGUAGAUAUCGAGAGGAACACCUGCGGCGAAGGCGGGUUGCUGGGCUGACACUGACGCUGAUGUGCGAAAGCUAGGGGAGCGAACGGG